GUAGGUAAGGGAAGUCGGCAAAAUGGUUCCGCAACUUCGGGAGAAGGAAUGGCUCUGAAGGCUGGGUGCGGGGGUCCUCCGCUUGAGGCCGGCUGGCUGCGCUGGGACUACGGCCUUUGCGCCGCGGACCCGGCGCGGCCGUCCGGCGGACGGCGGAGGAGCGCUCCGGCAUUCCCCGCACGCUGAACAGCCGCUUCAGAACUGGCGCGGACAAGGGGAAUCCGA
rnacentral:rRNA from 1 species